CCUACGGGGUGCAGCAGUCGAGAAUCAUUCACAAUGGGGGAAACCCUGAUGGUGCGACGCCGCGUGGGGGAAUGAAGGUCUUCGGAUUGUAAACCCCUGUCAUGUGGGCGCAAAUUAAAAAGAUAGUACCACAAGAGGAAGAGACGGCUAACUCUGUGCCAGCAGCCGCGGUAAUACAGAGGUCUCAAGCGUUGUUCGGAAUCACUGGGCGUAAAGCGUGCGUAGGCGGUUUCGUAAGUCGUGUGUGAAAGGCGCGGGCUCAACCCGCGGACGGCACAUGAUACUGCGAGACUAGAGUAAGGGAGAGGGAACCGGAAUUCUCGGUGUAGCAGUGAAAUGCGUAGAUAUCGAGAGGAACACUCGGGGCGAAGGCGGGUUCCUGGACAUUAACUGACGCUGAGGCACGAAGGCCAGGGGAGCGAAAGGGAUUAGAUACCCUAGUAGUC
rnacentral:rRNA from 1 species